AGGAAAAGAAACUAACAAGGAUUCCCCUAGUAACUGCGAGUGAAGCGGGAAAAGCUCAAAUUUAAAAUCUGGCAGUCUUGGCUGUCUGAAUUGUAUUCUAGAGAAGUGCUUUCUGUGCUGGACCGUGUACAAGUCUCUUGGAACAGAGCGUCAUAGAGGGUGAGAAUCCCGUCUUUGACACGGACUACCAGUGCUAUGUGAUGCGCUCUCAAAGAGUCGAGUUGUUUGGGAAUGCAGCUCAAAAUGGGUGGUAAAUUCCAUCUAAAGCUAAAUAUUGGCGAGAGACCGAUAGCGAACAAGUACCGUGAGGGAAAGAUGAAAAGCACUUUGGAAAGAGAGUUAAACAGUACGUGAAAUUGCUGAAAGGGAAACGCUUGAAGUCAGUCGCGUUGUUCAGAACUCAGCCUUGCCUCGGCUUGGUGCACUUUCUGAUUAACGGGCCAGCAUCAGUUUUGACUGCAGGAAAAAGAUUAGGGGAAUGUGGCACCUUCGGGUGUGUUAUAGCCUUUGAUUAUAUACUGUGGUUGGGACUGAGGAACUCAGCACGCGCAAGUUGUGCUCAGGAUGCUGGCGUAAUGGCUUUAAACGACCCGUCUUGAAACACGGACC
rnacentral:rRNA from 1 species